UCGGACGUAGCCCACGGGUGGUGGUGGGCC
rnacentral:sRNA from 1 species